rnacentral:lncRNA from 1 species
UAUGCUAGCUCUAGAAUUUUGCCCUGUAAGUGAAGACAAUCCAAGAUCUCAUUUUUCUUCAAUUAAAGUCAGUGCAAUAACUGGAUUUGAAUCACUUAUAAGAAGCUUUCUAUUGCUUUUAAGAUUUAGACUAAUAUGUUCAGCACCAACUAUGUGACUAUAAGUCUAAGAUUCCUGAUAUGAAUGCAUGUUCAUUCGAGAUUUAGUUGGGUUAAAUCCUGACAGCAA